rnacentral:rRNA from 1 species
GAUGAACGCUGGCGGCGUGCUUAACACAUGCAAGUCGAACGGAAAGGCCCAAGCUUGCUUGGGUACUCGAGUGGCGAACGGGUGAGUAACACGUGGGUGAUCUGCCCUGCACUUCGGGAUAAGCCUGGGAAACUGGGUCUAAUACCGGAUAGGACCACUUCUUGGAUGUUGUGGUGGAAAGUUUUUUCGGUGUGGGGUGAGCUCGCGGCCUAUCAGCUUGUUGGUGGGGUAAUGGGCUACCAAGGCGUCGGCGGGUAGCCGGCCUGAGAGGGUGUACGGCCACACUGGGACUGAGAUGCGGCACAGACUCCGACGGGAGGCAGCAGGGGGGAAGAUUGAACAAGGGGCGCAAGCCGGAUGCAGCGACGCCGCGGGGGGGAUGACGGUCUUCGGGUUGUAAACGCCUUUCGCUAGGGACGAAGCGUUUUGUGACGGUACCUGGAGAAGAAGCACCGGCUAACUACGUG